rnacentral:tRNA from 1 species
GGAAAGGUAGGUUAUGGCAAACCACUGAACUGUGGUUUCAGAGAUGUUAAAAGACCCUUUUUC